UCUAACUUAUCAUUUGAAAUGAAAGGUGAAAGUCCUUUUAAGAACUGUUAAGGGCAGUUCUUCCCUAAGCUACGACAUGCAUUAAUAGAUUAACAUAUUAUAUGUAUGAAGCUCGUUAAAGUCGGUGAAAAUUGGACCUGAAAAGUGGUUAAAGAAGUAAUCGGGGGUCUAUAAA
rfam:Clostridium sp. CAG:221 genomic scaffold, scf63